AUUGAACGCUGGCGGCAGGCCUAACACAUGCAAGUCGAGCGGAUGAAGGGAGCUUGCUCCUGGAUUCAGCGGCGGACGGGUGAGUAAUGCCUAGGAAUCUGCCUGGUAGUGGGGGAUAUCGUCCGGAAACGGGCGCUAAUACCGCAUACGUCCUGAGGGAGAAAGUGGGGGAUCUUCGGACCUCACGCUAUCAGAUGAGCCUAGGUCGGAUUAGCUAGUUGGUGGGGUAAAGGCCUACCAAGGCGACGAUCCGUAACUGGUCUGAGAGGAUGAUCAGUCACACUGGAACUGAGACACGGUCCAGACUCCUACGGGAGGCAGCAGUGGGGAAUAUUGGACAAUGGGCGAAAGCCUGAUCCAGCCAUGCCGCGUGUGUGAAGAAGGUCUUCGGAUUGUAAAGCACUUUAAGUUGGGAGGAAGGGCAGUAAGUUAAUACCUUGCUGUUUUGACGUUACCAACAGAAUAAGCACCGGCUAACUUCGUG
rnacentral:rRNA from 1 species